GUACCAUUUUAAAAAAAAUUAUGGAGCAACCUACGUACAAGUAUCAACAGUACGCACGAUAUGUCAUAACCAACCUCACCACACAUGAUGAAAAACGUCUUAAUGAGUUUUUAAGUUUGAAAGUUUGGGAAUUCAACGGGGACAAUGUUGAUCCAGACAACGUUUUUGAUGACAUUGAUAUAAAAAAUGCAGUAAAUUGGGCAAUCUAUCGUUACAAUUCAACCUGUGAUAAUGUUGACAGAUUGAAGAAAUGCUAUCGCUUGCUGAGUUGUGCAAGAGACAUUGGCGGACCAGCUGACGACAACAUCGCAAAAGAUACAAAAGAAAAUUAGUUCUCAUCGUUGCCAAUGUGGCUUGAGAUGCAAGCAAGAUCGUUAUCACAAUUGGAUGCAAGACAACCGCGAUAGAAUUCCUGAAGACUGGGUGUUACCAAAUCAAAAUGGUUACCAGGAAUGAAAACCUGGAAUGCUACGGUCCGACGACAUAUUGACUCGGGUAAAGAGAUGAAUUUUAAAAUAAGUAGCAAAAAGUACCACUAUAUGACAAAACAAGGAGUGCGAAACUCAAAAGCCAAAUGAUGGAUGCGUCAGUUUGUUGCAUUUGAACAGAAUGAUCGAAAUAACCGAACUCGUUACGAGCGAAUGCCGAAUCCAAAGUCAGAAAACUGGAAAGAUUACAUAACUCAUCGUCUGACAAUUAUGAAGAGAGCCAUUCACACAAAAAAUAAGCCUGACAAAUUAUUUUAGGAUUCCUAUUAAAAUAUUAAUUUGUAAGGUUUCCUUAUAAUAUUGGAACAUUUUAUCAGGAAACCUUUAAAUAAUAAAAAUGUUUUGUUUCAACACAGUGAAGUUGGCUUUGACGUUUGGACGCGCCAAUUUAUUAGGAUUCCUGUUAAAAUAUUGCGAUUUUAUAAGGAAACCUUACAAAUUCAUUUUUUUAAUAGGGAUCCUAAAAUAAUUUGUUGGGUUUUUCUCUUGUGUGUUGCAGUACACACGACCGAAAAGUAUACCCGGCUACACGACCGAACAAUUCGAUAAAUACAUUGAAUCAAAUCGUGUAUGCGAUAAGAUUGCUGCCAUGAUGACAAAUCGCAAGCCAUGCAUCAUGGGAGCAGCUCAAAUAUCGCCGAACUCGCCGAUAAAGAUAAAAAAGAACAUAAGAUGUCCAGGCAAUAGAAAAAUGAUAAAAAGUUUCAAGAAAAUGAAGGGAAAUGUGGUUAAAAUGGUGAACGAGUACAGAACAUCAAAAAUGUGCGCACGUUGUUUUCGACCAUUCCCUGUGGAAACAUUGAGCCAUCGUUUCAAGAUGUGUGUAUGGUGUAUGCCAGAUGAUUGGCCAGCUACUGACGAAAAUUGUAACCAUGAAGAGCAAGCGAGAGCUGUUAUAAGAACGACGAGAUGUGCGAGAGGCAAUGAUUGUGAAUCCAUUGGUUUUGUGUCGAAAGUCAGCAUGGGUUCAUCAAAAAUGUGUCAACGAUAACGAACUUGGCAGAAUUUACAUCGAAUACGA